UGGCUCAGGAUGAACGCUGGCGGCGUGCUUAACACAUGCAAGUCGAACGAUGAAGCCCAGCUUGCUGGGUGGAUUAGUGGCGAACGGGUGAGUAACACGUGAGUAACCUGCCCCCGACUCUGGGAUAAGCCCGGGAAACUGGGUCUAAUACCGGAUAUUACCUUUGACCGCAUGGUUGUUGGUGGAAAGAUUUAUCGGUGGGGGAUGGACUCGCGGCCUAUCAGCUUGUUGGUGAGGUAAUGGCUCACCAAGGCGACGACGGGUAGCCGGCCUGAGAGGGUGACCGGCCACACUGGGACUGAGACACGGCCCAGACUCCUACGGGAGGCAGCAGUGGGGAAUAUUGCACAAUGGGCGAAAGCCUGAUGCAGCGACGCCGCGUGAGGGAUGACGGCCUUCGGGUUGUAAACCUCUUUCAGUAGGGAAGAAGCGAAAGUGACGGUACCUGCAG
rnacentral:rRNA from 1 species